CCGGUUUGUGUCCGUGCUGUGGCCGGUCACGUUGUACCUGUUUAUUGGUUAGAAUUUGAUUGCCUAUGAUUUCCGCGUGGUAGGGCGAUCCCACGAUUUCUCUGCGCACCGGAGCAGAAAUGGAGGCUUUGGCAGUCCGUGUUGACAAGCUCUUAAAUAAUACACCUGCGAUGUCUAUUCCUUGAACCGAGAGGAGUACAACAUGGCCUCGGGGACUCGGCGUUUUCUUCCGGUGUUUGAAGUACAUUUCGACCUCUACUCAGGAAACGCGAUGUCAGAAGCAAUCAGGAGCGUUCUGGAACAUUACGGGGAGCGUUUACGCGGCUUUUGGGGAGGUCCCGGGACUAAACUGUUUGAGGGGAACGGGAUGUCUCUCCUGCAGCCUGGGUCUUUGACUUCCUGCGUGAAUCUCUGCCCUUCCCUCAUUUCCACCGGUCGCGCGUCUGUCCUUGUCCACGUUCGUCUGCGCUGUCGCCCAAUUGGCUCGUCGGGGGAAACAAAUCCGGCUGAUUGGCUGACUGGAGCCAGCAGGAGGCUGGCGUCGUGGCAACGCUGCUCGGGUUUCUCUGGGUUUCCAGCCCCGUUCUGCAUGCCUGCCUCAUCGCCCGGCUGUGAUGUCAUCUGCAGCCGGCCAAUCGGAGCGGACUUGGAAUCAUUACCUGCUAAGCUGGGGAUUCUGGUUACACACUCAGCUUAAGUGUCAAUUACCUUAAGCCCAUUUCAGCAGGGACUGUUGACCCAGCGUUUGUGUCAGUGCCAGAUUGCACUGACAGUGUGAGGAGUUAAUUUAAUUACAAGUCAAUGAUGUCCAGGCCGCUACGCUUAUUUCUUGUAGAGAAUACUGACACACUAUGUCUUUAUACAGAGAGAUUGCUCUCUCCUUUUCACCACUGCAUUUUAGUUAUUUACAGUUUGUUUUUUUUUGUUUUGUUUUUUUACAUAAUCAACAAUAUGAAAUUUUGUUGAUUAUGUGAAACUCAUCGUCAUUGUGUCUAACAACUACAAGUACCACAACCAGAUCUAAAACAACCAGCUGCAAUAAUGCAGUCCAAUAGGACCGUCACAGCCUUUGCAAACAAGAGCGACACAUUUAGCUCCCGUCUAACUGUUACAGUAGUGUUCAUCGCCAGUACUAUCACAACCUCAAAAAGUGUUGGUAUGUUUAUGGGGGGCGGGGGCGGGGGGGCUGUACCUGUACACAGAUCUGAGUGAGCCACACGGAGAUCGCAGAGAUGCUCCGGCUGUCUGUCGCCUGUCAAAAUAAUGCCUCCCCGAUUCCUCCAGCCUGUCUGUUCUGCCAUGAGAUUUAAUACACAAAUCUGCAGUAAUAACUUUCAUGUAAUCUUCACCCCCCCCUCCCCCCCCCUUAUCCCAGACUGGAACUGGCUAGCCCAACAUGUACUUCAGUAAACACGCAUCCAGUCGAUGCCAGAUCAGUUGCAGUAACUGAUGAUCGUGAAUGCAGGAAACAGACGGUAUUUAAAUGACUUCUCAGACGCGGAGCCCUUAUUAUAUAACGUCCCGUGAUACGAGAUGCGUUUGUCUGCGCUGUACGGGCCCUGACAUGCACUUCUGUCGUCAGCAUAAGGAGAAAGUCAGUUCUGCCCUGAUGAUGUAUGGCUAAUGGAAGCCAUGCUCGUUUAGCCGCGCGGUCGGUGCCUCUCGGCGUAUGAAAUAUUGAUAUUUCGGCUGAUCGAAAGCGUUCUUCGCGUCGGCCCGAUACGUGAAACUGCGCCGCCGUGGGUUCGCGCGAGGACAGACGCAGACGGAUAUUAAUGCGAAUACGAGCGCGGAAGUGAAUUAUCAAUAGACCGGCUCCCUCCAUCUGUCCCAACCAUUAGCGUAGCUUUUUACAAAAUGCCAGCUUGCUCAGUUUAACCAGGGGCGACCUGAUAGACGCACAGUGCUAUGAACUUA